AAUGGAAUUCAAUGUUAAAGAUACAGUACUAAUAAUAUUCACUGCUGAAAUGGUUCCCACUUCCUGCUAAGGUGCUGCUACAUGGCUACUGUGUUGUGUUCCUAGCUGAUUUCUGUGCAGUUGUAUUCCAGAUGGUUGCUAGGGUCUUUAAGGUGGUUGUCGAGUGGUUACUCUGGUAACCCGUUUAACAAUGAGCCAAAUAUAUUUUGUACCAAAUAUAGAUGUAGAAUGUUGUACAAUUUUAAGAUCUUUUAAUAAUCGCAUGAGGUUUAGUAAAUUUCGACAGUAGACGCUGUAUUUUAUUUUUCAUAUUGUACACUGUUUAUGCUUAUGCCCGGCUGUCCUCUUCUUCUUACGUAUGUAGUCUCAUAGACGGCAGGGGUGCCAGACUAAAGAAACAAACACACAAUGGCUGACCAGCUGAAUUUAAGUUAAAAGAAAAUGUGUUUGUAAUGUAAUAUUUGAUAAGGGCCCUUGAGCAUUUCGAAUCAAGUCAGCUUGAGAACUGUUUUUUUCUGUUGCAACAGGGCGCACGGGUACGAUGGUGUGUACAUGGUUGAUUGACAGCGUUUAGUUUGAGAGUGCGCAGGUGUGGGAAAGGGCAAUGGCAGUGAUCUGAAGGUGCGGAUCAUAGUGAAAAGAGAGCAGGUGUUCCAGUGUGUCUGUGCCACGCAGACGAACUGUAGGCCAAGACAGCUCUGACCAACAACCAAAGAGAUUACAAAGAUUGUUGUGACUCAUUUUGGUGAGCUUGAAUUGUAUCCUCUGUUAAAACAACAAACCAUGAGGGAAAUGCUCCAAGAGAAUCAAUUAAUUACCUGACUUGGACCAGAGCAAACAAACUAUAGUGUGAAAAAACAGCCUUACAUACACUAUUAAAAGAUGUUGUACAUACAUACACUAGUGAAAGCGUUUGUGAAUCGGUAUCAUCUUAACCCCAAAUCAUAUUUUAAAUAUGUACUAAAGAACAACUUUUAAAUAUUCAAUAAGCUCAUAAUAUUGAACCUUUAAAGACAGUAGCAGCCCACUAAAAACAUAAAUCACAUUGUAAUUGUUGGGAAAGGUCUUUCAGAUGUUUGUCUUAUGUUCCUUUGUGUUUAUUUUACUGUUCGCUCAUAUACUGUGUUCUCAUAUUUUACCAGCUGUUCCCAGAUACUGAAAACAAUGCCGUGGUGAUCAGCUUUCAGGAAGGGCCAGUGGUUUGUGGUGAUGUUAAGGUCAUGUUUGAAUCCAGGGCUGGUCUUCCAAAGGGGUAUGAGGACUAUCCUUUCUAUUUCUGGUUCAACACUUCAUUUGUAGAGAACAACAGGCUCUAUCUGUCAAGGGAGGAACUGGACAACCCACGUAAGUCCAAAACCUGGGACAUCUACAAGGAGGACUUUGGUGUGACCGUGUCUUUCAGUGACCCUGCACUUAUGUAGCAGACGACACUUGCUUGUGUAUCUCAACUAAAACCCUUAAGCCCUGCACAAGGUCUAAAUCUUUGCUCUAAUGUAGGUUUUCACACACUUAUAAAAGGUGAGUGAUGUUUAGGGAUUGGAUUCGGGCAUAUUGUGCCCCUAAAGCUAUAGCUAUAGCUAUAUAACCUCAACUUUAUGUCCAUCCCCCAUCUUCACUGUAAGAGCUUUUUACUGAGCCGUGCAUACACCACAAUAUUAUGCAUUUGUUUGUCAAAUGUUUUUUUGUCUUUAAAUGAAGACAAAUGUUUGUGUCAGUUUAGCAUAUUAAGCCUCCAAAAUGUAAAUCUUACUCUUUAAGCUUGAGUGUACAUCAAAUAAAGCAAUCGAGGCUGCCACUGUGAAAUGGUCAAUGGUUAUGUGUGCAGAAACAUGUUUUUGUAGUACACAUGUAUUGAAAUAAAUACUAAUGUCUCUGUAA